rnacentral:rRNA from 1 species
GAUGAACGCUGGCUGCGUGCCUAAUACAUGCAAGUCGAGCGAACGGACGAGAAGCUUGCUUCUCUGAUGUUAGCGGCGGACGGGUGAGUAACACGUGGAUAACCUACCUAUAAGACUGGGAUAACUUCGGGAAACCGGAGCUAAUACCGGAUAAUAUUUUGAACCGCAUGGUUCAAAAGUGAAAGACGGUCUUGCUGUCACUUAUAGAUUGAUCCGCGCUGCAUUAGCUAGUUGGUAAGGUAACGGCUUACCAAGGCAACGAUGCAUAGCCGACCUGAGAGGGUGAUCGGCCACACUGGAACUGAGACACGGUCCAGACUCCUACGGGACGCAGCAGUAGGGAAUCUUCCGCAAUGGGCGAAAGCCUGACGGAGCAACGCCGCGUGAGUGAUGAAGGUCUUCGGAUCGUAAAACUCUGUUAUUAGGGAAGAACAUAUGUGUAAGUAACUGUGCACAUCUUGACGGUACCUAAUCAGAAAGCCACGGCUAACUACGUG